UGGUUCCGAUGUAACUGGCGACAAAAGUGGAUCAAACCACGGUGGAGCAUCGGAGUAUACGGCCGGUCGCCUGGGCAAAGAGC
rfam:Paenibacillus macerans strain 8244 genomic scaffold scaffold1, whole genome shotgun sequence.